UACGUAGGGGGCAAGCGUUGUUCGGAAUCACUGGGCGUAAAGCGCACGUAGGCGGAUGUGUCAGUCAGGGGUGAAAUCCCGGAGCUCAACUUCGGAACUGCCUCUGAUACAGCACGUCUUGAGUCCGAGAGAGGUGGGUGGAAUUCCUAGUGUAGAGGUGAAAUUCGUAGAUAUUAGGAAGAACACCGGUGGCGAAGGCGGCCCACUGGCUCGGUACUGACGCUGAGGUGCGAAAGCGUGGGGAGCAAACAGG
rnacentral:rRNA from 1 species